rnacentral:rRNA from 1 species
UAGCCAGACUCCUACGGGAGGCAGCAGUGGGGAAUAUUGGGCAAUGGGCGCAAGCCUGACCCAGCAACGCCGCGCGAAGGAAGAAGGCUUUCGGGUUGUAAACUUCUUUUCUCGGGGACGAAGAAAGUGACGGUACCUGAGGAAUAAGCCACGGCUAACUACGUGCCAGCAGCCGCGGUAAUACGUAGGUGGCAAGCGUUAUCCGGAUUUAUUGGGUGUAAAGGGCGUGUAGGCGGGAGCGCAAGUCAGAUGUGAAAACUCAGGGCUCAACCCUGAGCCUGCAUUUGAAACUGUGUUUCUUGAGUGCUGGAGAGGCAAUCGGAAUUCCUGGUGUAGCGGUGAAAUGCGUAGAUAUCUGGAGGAACAUCAGUGGCGAAGGCGACUAUCUGGCACAUAACUGACGCUGAGGAGCGAAAGCGUGGGUAGCAAACAGGAUUAGAUACCCGAGUA